CAUCCGUCGCUCCAAACACGUCCCAGCUACACCACGGGUACAACCCCCAUCCCACCCCGUGUCCACAUACCAAAGAUGCCGACGGCGGCUCGCAUGACAACGGCACCCUCCAUCUGUGCGCGCAAGGCAGCUCUCAAUGGCAGUGCGACCCUCCCUACAGCCAUGCCCGCGGGCAUGGCGGACCCUGUUGUGGCGCGUCCAUGUCGCACGCAAGGUGGCCCCCGGCGGUGGCGCGGCCACUCCCAUGUCCCCCGCCAGGUCCUUCGCCUAGUAGAUCCAUCCGUACGUGACACCAGUUGACAUGGCGGUAGCCCCUUCCGUCCUCAAUGGCCAACCGAGACUCCCUGGCCCCGACAUGCAGAUGUGACAAUCGUUAAACCCCGGUGACUCACUGCAUCUGGUGUCUGGUCCAGGUUCCUGAUAUCACUGAUCCACCAUUCAAGAUUAAUUUAAUAACUAGGUCAUGAAUGUACAUCCAUUGUUUUUUCAUUGCUUUUUGGGAGCUAACUUCCGCCUGAUUGAUUACCUCAUUGCCUGAAAGCCACGCACAAUGCAGAAUCUGCUACUCUAUAAGGCCCUAAGGCCACCCACAAUGAUCCAUUUUUUAAUCCAAUUUUUCAUUCCAAAGCGAGUUUAUUCUUUUGUUGGACCAUAUUGCAGAUAGAAAAAAUCUUGACCAUUCUAGUCAAAAACUCACAACUGGGCACUACUGCAGACUAUUGAAAAAAGGACAUUAUUUGCACUAGAGUUGGAUUUGAAAAAGAAUGGUGGCAGCAGCACGAAGACAAGGAAUUAUGGUUCAGGCGCUACAGUUUACUACAUGUGAAGCUGUGUGCAGAUGAGAAUUGAUGGAUAAACAAUAUUGGAGAAGUGCUUGACAAGGGAGAUCAUUCCAACGAGAUGGCUGCAUUUGCUUAUUUGCUUAUUGCUGCAUGGUGGAUAGAUAAUGUUGGCUGUAUGAAUUAGUGUUGUUUGUAAAUUGCUUCAUCAUCAAUGUGUAAAUAUUUUAUAUAUAAA